rnacentral:rRNA from 1 species
CCGGUCGGUCUCGACCCCACGCUUGAGCGCCACAGGCGCCAAGAGAGCAGGCGCAGCGUUAUCGCUGCAACCGUCGUUGAGUCACCUUAUCGGUCAUAGCGGACUGCAGUUGUUUUGGGCGGCUUUCUGUC